rnacentral:tRNA from 1 species
GCCUGUAUAGCUCAGAAGGUAGAGCACUUGCAUGGUAAGCAAGAGGUCGUCAGUUCAAUUCUGACUGCAGGCU